UCUGAGCAGUAGUAAACAUGUAUGGCUGUCUUGAUCUUUCCAACUUGCCUGAGAAUGCCGCUGCCGCUUAAAUCACGGGACAGGGCUAUUGGGGGAUAGUUGAAGGCAAGGACCCUGAACUGAGUGGGCAUUGUGGUGAAAGUAUCUGCACCCUGUCCAUCUUCAUCAAGGAUGGCUCCUUGUGCCCUGGGCUUGAGAUGCCGUGUUGGUCAUUCCAUGUUGCAGACUGCGGGUGUGACAUCAUAUGCAACCCUGAGGAGCCUUCGUAGCAGACUGGACCUGUCCUCACAAUAUCCCUGGGGCCCUCUCAUUGUGCCACACAGCCUGUGUUCAACUAUUGAAUGUCUGUUGUCAGAAUGGAUCAGAAGGCCUAGUUUACUGGCGAAUCAGAGAAGGGGCCCCAAUCUCAGAAACAGAUAAGGAAAUCCAUCCAAGGCAGAAGACAAGAGGGCUGGGCAAUUGUCCUUUGUUCCAGUUUUAAAAUGCUGAAAGACACACAUCUACAACGGGUGGCCUCCAACUACAUGCGUCCACAAAGACCAGGCAAACGAGAAUUCAAAGAAACAAAUAAUUCAGUUUGAAACCGGAUUCCUCUGGUGCCCUCUGUCUCCUGAACUGGCAAGUUGAUUUUGGUGAUUCAGUCUGAAACCAUGUGCCCCGGACUGGCACAUCAUGUUUCCUUUCUGCUCUGGCUGCCCUACUUAACACAAAUAAUCCGAGGUGUCCAGGUUUGCCAUGGGCCCGGCUUGCCCAAUGCCGUUCAUGCAGAGGAAGAGCCCGGAGCUCAUCCUGGAAAAGGGAAGAGUGAGAAUAUGACAGGCCUCAUUUAGUCCAAAUAGUUGCUCUCUCAUCCUGCACUUAGCAACUUCCUAAAACUGGUACUAAAGAAAAUUCACUGGGGCCUUGGAGAACUCUCAAGAAACCCUGUGCCUGGUACCUGGAAGCAUUGUUCCUCACUGCUCUGUUUCUCAGAGUUUGGGUCAAGAGGGACCGGCAAUCCAGCCUCCUUUCUGGAAGUGGGGUCGUCUCAGGCGGUUAGCUGUGGAAGAGCCGGGACCGGGUGGCGGUCAGGAGGCAGCCCUUCUGGCAGACUUCCUGGGUGGCCUGGCCCGGCUGGCCCCUCACCCGGAUGGGCUAAGUGGAGAGCCUGCCUUGCCGGGCUGCAAUGGUGUGGGUGUGUGUGUGUGUGGGGGGGGGGUAAGUGCAGUCACGGAGGGGGCAGGCAGCUGUGCAGGUCCUGGGCCCACACUCACAAUUGGAGGAAGGAAUCCAGGAAGUUCUCAGAGCUGCUCAGACAUCUCGGAGCCUUGUCCCAAUCAGGACCAAGGCUGCAGCGCCCAGGGAUGAGUGUGCCGUGGCCUGGCCCCUGGGGUGGCCCCCAGGUCAGGAGGCCAUGGCACCACUGCCGGCUCUGUCGCUUGGAGAAGCCUUGGCCCCACCAAGUCCAGGAAGUCUUGUGCUCACAUCUUUCAGGACAGCUCUUCUUCCAGAAGUCGCCAGCGGAGUUGACCACAGUUCUUGGAAUCCAGACCAGAGGCUUAGAAAACAAUAACAGAGACCCACCGAGGUCUGAGUAGCACCAUGCGGGGUGCCCCAUGGCCCAGAAGGGCCGUGACCCAGGGCCUCAGACCAGCAUCCGCUUAGGAGACCACAAGGAGAGCGGCUGGAAGGGCAGAGUGCCUGCCACCACCGAGGGCACCCUGUUUUGAAUGGUGAGCUAGGGCUCAGCCGGUCAUCUGCCACGUGGGGCCAUGGAAACAGCAGUGAUCGGAGUGGUGGCCGUGCUGUUUGUGGUCACCGUAGCCAUCACCUGCAUCCUGUGCUGCUUCAGCUGUGACUCAAGGACCCAGGAUCCUCAGGGGGGGCCCGGCCACAGCUUUACAGUGGCCACGUUUUGCCAGGAGGCUUCUUUCUUCACGGGGCCAGGUCACCAUGCCCAACCAGUGGUGGGUGCCCGGGACUUCUGGACCUUCAUGUGAGGCCUGACAGUCCCCAGGAUUUCUUCUGCUGGUGGGUCAGAUUCACUCGUCACCCAGCGAGCCUUCCCCGGUGUCCUACUCCUCCAAUGCUGCAUUCCUGUCCUUCCCUGCCUCUAUUCUGCAAGCUCCCCGUCCCAUCCCGUCUCACUUUGCUGUGCCCUCCAGCCUGGGAGAUCCGCAGCAGUGGGACCAGACGGAAUUCAGCUUGGACCCCUGAGAGCUCAGCCGGACCCUUCCCACAGGAUGGGGCUUAGGAGAGGCCUGAAGAGUGACUGCUGGGCAGUGUCAGAUUGCACGGUGAGCCAGCUCUUCUGAUUUACAUGGGGGACUGAGAUGUCACUGGAAUUUAUUGUCAACAGAGUGCUGGUUCACUCAGGUUACCCCGGGAUGCCUGUGACACUGGUUCUCUUGCCACCGGAGGAAACAGCGAGCUCAAGUAGACAUUUUUAUGUUUUUAUCUCCCUUCUGAUUGAGUGGUUUUGUUACUUGCAAGUGCACAUUGCAAAGAACCUGAUGCCGAGAAUUGUCUCCUGCCAGUUGCCUGAAUCAGCCCUGAGAUCCUGAAACCAAAGGGCUGCUUCCUGGGAACACAUGAUUUAUUCUAUGAUUGAAAAUGUAUACCCCUUCAUAGACGUCUCAAGAAUCAACAGAAAAGAAUCAAGGUCAAGAAUCAAGAGGAAAAAGAAAGUCACAGCAAGUACAAGAUGUUUUCUUAACAGCAACGCCAGAAAGAAGACUUUGAAACAUACUUUGAGACUUUCUUACUAUAUUCUUAUAGGUCACUUCUAUUCUCAGAGAAUGUAAGUGACUUCCAUCACUUAGGAAGGAUAGAAAAAUCAUGAGCUGCAAGAUAAUUCCAAAUACGUUAAAAUGUUGUGUUACAUUGAGAGCAUGUAACAAAGCUCUUGUUUUCAUCACAAAUAAAGACAUGCUCAGGUUUCA
ensembl:lncRNA